rnacentral:misc_RNA from 1 species
UACGUAGGUGGCAAGCGUUAUCCGGAAUUAUUGGGCGUAAAGCGCGCGUAGGCGGUCUGUUAAGUCGGAUGUGAAAGCCCACGGCUCAACCGUGGAGGGUCAUUGGAAACUGGGGAACUUGAGUACAGAAGAGGAGAGUGGAAUUCCACGUGUAGCGGUGAAAUGCGUAGAUAUGUGGAGGAACACCAGUGGCGAAGGCGACUCUCUGGUCUGUCACUGACGCUGAGGCGCGAAAGCGUGGGGAUCAAACAGG